CUGGCUGCACAGAAGUGUUAAUGUUUAUCAUCAACUAAAGUUUUUUGUCAUUUCUGUCCCUGAUAUGUCAGGAAAACUCAGUUCAACCCAGUCAUCCGGAACAUAUUUCGCUGUGUCUUCAGAAGAUUCUUACAUGCAAACGGCUGUGACCAAGGAACUUUCCCCAGGGACCAGGAACCUUUGGAGGAACUCCAACCGCAGGGACCAAUUAAAUUUUUUACCCCCAAAAAAGGUCCCUACAUCGGGGAGUAAUACUUUUCAAAAGUACCAGGACUUUCUGGGUGGGGCUUACAGCACUGAACAUUUCUGAUUGGUCAAGCUCCAACCGGAGCAGCGGUGGUUUGACUGUCUGGAUCGAUGCGUUGCUGGGUCACAGGCCGGGCUUCUCUGGCGCAGCGGCUCAGCUACUGCACUGUUGAAGCCAUGGUGGAAGACACGAUAAUUUUUUUUCAACAUGUUUUUCAGAUGAAACGGACAGAUAAAGUGAACUGCAGGCUGCAGACAAGUGUGUUUACUCCUGCAACCAACAACAGCCUUCGUCCCAUGUCUCCUGCUGAAGCACACAAACGCUGUAU